UAAAAUAUUAGUGUUGUAUGAAAAUGUGAGCUAGUAAUAAGAUAAUUUUGUGAAUUAUAAUUAGUCUGAUAAAUAUUUGUGCCAGCAUUCGCGGUUAUACUUUAAGGCUAGGUAAAAUAUAUUAGAGUUAGUUAAGAGAAUUAAUAUAAGUGCAUUAUUGAUAAUAAAAGGUGAAAUUGGAUUAUUAUUAAAUAAAUGAAGUAUAUUGAAGCUGAAGCUAAGAAAGUUUAAUUAUAGACUAGGAUUAGAUACCCUAUUAUUUUAAACUAUAAAUGAAAAUGAAACUCUAGAUAAGUAGUAGAUAGGUACUUAAAAAUUAAAAAAUUUGGCGGUGAUUUAAUCUUUUCAGAGGAACUUGUUUUAUAAUCGAUAAACCACGUUUAAUCUUACUUAUUUUAGUAUAAUCAGUAUGUAUACCAUCAUUAUCAGGUGAUUUUUAAAGAAAAAAUUACUAAAAAUAAUUAGUUAAAUAAAUUAGAUCAUGGUGCAGCUUAUAAAUAAGGUAAAAUGAGUUACAAUAAAGCUUUUUAAAUGAAUUAGUAAAGUAAGAAUUUACUAUGAAGGUGGAUUUGAUUGUAAGUGUGGAUUAAUAAGCUUAUUUGAUAUUGGUGCUAAAUCAUGUACAUAUCGCCCGUCGCUUUCGCUAACCGAGAUAAGUCGUAACAAAGUAGGCGUAUCGGAAGAUGUGCCUAGAAGGUA
rnacentral:rRNA from 1 species